AAAAUUCUAAACUCUUACUGUCGUUCCAAUUGAAGUGUUGCUCAAAUAUUGAUUGAAUACAUCACCUCGGGCUGACCAAUUCAUUUCAUCAAGUUCCUCGAAAUAUUCAUACACUUCCUAGUAUAAUUGUAAACUUCCUGUUGAAUAGUUUGAAUGCACCAAUCACCUUUGUUGUUUGUGCAACUAACCAAUUAUAAAUAGAAAGGAAGUGACCAGAAAUGAUCAAAUACUUGGAAUUGGCUCUUUC